rnacentral:rRNA from 1 species
GAUGAACGCUGGCGGCGUGCCUAAUACAUGCAAGUCGAGCGAACAGAUGAGGAGCUUGCUCCUCUGACGUUAGCGGCGGACGGGUGAGUAACACGUGGAUAACCUACCUAUAAGACUGGGAUAACUUCGGGAAACCGGAGCUAAUACCGGAUAAUAUAUUGAACCGCAUGGUUCAAUAGUGAAAGACGGUUUUGCUGUCACUUAUAGAUGGAUCCGCGCCGCAUUAGCUAGUUGGUAAGGUAACGGCUUACCAAGGCAACGAUGCGUAGCCGACCUGAGAGACUGAUCGGCCACUCUGGAACUGAGACACGGUCCAGACUCCUACGGGAGGCAGCAGUAGGGAAUCUUCCGCGAUGGGCGAAAGCCUGACGGAGCAACGCCGCGUGAGUGAUGAAGGUCUUCGGAUCGUAAAACUCUGUUAUUAGGGAAGAACAAAUGUGUAAGUAACUAUGCACGUCUGGACGGUACCUAAUCAGAAAGCCACGGCUAACUACGUG